rnacentral:rRNA from 1 species
UGCAAGUCGAGCGGACAGAUGGGAGCUUGCUCCCUGAUGUUAGCGGCGGACGGGUGAGUAACACGUGGGUAACCUGCCUGUAAGACUGGGAUAACUCCGGGAAACCGGGGCUAAUACCGGAUGCUUGUUUGAACCGCAUGGUUCAAACAUAAAAGGUGGCUUCGGCUACCACUUACAGAUGGACCCGCGGCGCAUUAGCUAGUUGGUGAGGUAAUGGCUCACCAAGGCAACGAUGCGUAGCCGACCUGAGAGGGUGAUCGGCCACACUGGGACUGAGACACGGCCCAGACUCCUACGGGAGGCAGCAGUAGGGAAUCUUCCGCAAUGGACGAAAGUCUGACGGAGCAACGCCGCGUGAGUGAUGAAGGUUUUCGGAUCGUAAAGCUCUGUUGUUAGGGAAGAACAAGUACCGUUCGAAUAGGGCGGUACCUUGACGGUACCUAACCAGAAAGCCACGGCUAACUACGUGCCAGCAGCCGCGGUAAUACGUAGGUGGCAAGCGUUGUCCGGAAUUAUUGGGCGUAAAGGGCUCGCAGGCGGUUUCUUAAGUCUGAUGUGAAAGCCCCCGGCUCAACCGGGGAGGGUCAUUGGAAACUGGGGAACUUGAGUGCAGAAGAGGAGAGUGGAAUUCCACGUGUAGCGGUGAAAUGCGUAGAGAUGUGGAGGAACACCAGUGGCGAAGGCGACUCUCUGGUCUGUAACUGACGCUGAGGAGCGAAAGCGUGGGGAGCGAACAGGAUUAGAUACCCUGGU